GGAAUCUCCUCAGCCCUCUGCAGCUUCUGGAGAACAAGACAGCGCCUGAGGGUCGUCAGGGGCCAAGGCACUCACAAGGGGAAGGAGGAAAGGAGGAAGGAAAGAAGCAAGGGAAAGACGUGCCUGAACUGAGCUGGCGCAGAAAGAGCUGCAGAUGACGCCUCAGGGAGUUUCCGGGGACCAUGCGUAGACCCAAGGACUUGGAGUAAGAAGCUGCAUUGAGGCAUGGACGAGUAGAAGAUAGGAAUGAACGAUGAAGAUCAGCCACUGGGACUGACUCGGUUGCAAAGGAUACAGGGGAAGAGAGUCAAAGAAAGACCAGAGAUAUGGGAACCAGUCUCUGAUGAAGACUCUGCCCCAUGGGGUCACAUGGACUAAAAAUGUCAGACUCUCACCAUCCCCCCUGUCAGUGGAAUCUCCUCCACCCUUGGUGAGCAAACAGUCCUGCUAGGGUUAAGCUGCCGGAGGCCACACUAGCUAUGGCGGAGACCAUAUCUCUCGAUUCACCUGUAUUUACCAGUACCUGGUGCAACAAAGUGCCAUUACAUACCUGAUUGAAUAAAUGAAUGACUGAACGAAGAUGGUAAUGGAG
ensembl:lncRNA